UCCUCUAAAUCUUUCUACUCAGUACUUGUAUUAGCUUUAGCAGAAAACUGUGUCGAGGCCUAGACUCAGGUCAGAGGUAAACUGUGUCGUAUGAAGUAGUCCUGUGGAAGCUUCAGGUUCUGAAGGUUAAUUUCACUGGAACUAAACAGCAAGCACAUUUCUCCAACAGCUGCCUGCCAUGGGGCCUUCUGUGUGUGCUUCUUAAUUUUAUUUUAUAUUAUAAAAAGUAUAGGUUGGUGUUUCUUAUAAAUUUGUAUUCAUGUGUACAUAAAGAGUUGUACAAUGACUGUAAAUAUGAUUUUUUGAAAAGUUUUAGAGUUCAUUUAGAAUUGUUUCACCCAAAAUCAAAAUGCUACUUUAGUAAAAUGUUAAUUUCUUGCUUUACCCCACUUACUAAAUAGGGAGGAGGGAAGAUCAAUAUGAGAAAUGUCUAUAGAUAUCUUAAACUUAUACAUUCAUGCAGCAGUUUAUAUUUUAGAAAUCUUUUAGCAAGGGAGUUUAACUGCCAUGUAGAAUAUAGCUUAAAGCUUUAAAAACAUCAAAUGUAAAAUCAUACAAUCAUGUGUUGAUUUAACUCUCAGACUUUCUUCCCAGUGGCGCUCUCCAAAAUCACAAGUUAUGUGUUUUAUGGCCAUAGCUACUUUUUCUUUUUCUUUUCCUUUUUCUUUUUCAAGCACUGGGUUUAGACUCUAAGACAUUGCUGGGAAGCGCUCCAUUGCCCUGUCUGCUGUCUUCUCAUUUUUAAAAGCCUUACUCUGUUGUUUCCCCUAAGGGGAGAAAGGAUUUAUUUUAUCCAAAGGCCUUUUCUCUUAAAGUGAGUUUGUGAGGGGAGAGAAGUCUGUGUGCUUUAGGAUGAAGAACAGUAUUUUCAUUUGUUUUCAAAAGCUCUAAUUUCAGCUAAGCCGUUUUAAAUGUGAAUCCCUCCUUGAAACUGCAAUGUGCUAUUUGUAUAUUUGACUAUCAGCAUGUUUUAUAUAAACAGAUUAUGAAAGACAUCUUACAGGUCUAGAGUUUCAGUAAUAAAUCAAUAUUCAGGGCAGGUAUUGAGAAACUUUAAAAAAAAAAAAGAAAUAACUAAGGCUUCUUGGCAAACUUUUUUUAACAUGUGGAAAAUAAAUGUGUGAUUCCCCCCUUUUACUUCGCUGAGUAAAGAAAAAGAGAGCACUGCUAUUGUCAGCAUCUCUUAAAGGCAUUCCCUGUCACAAAAGUCUGAGUCCAGUGUUAGUCGAGUCCUGUUCUGAAUGGGUUGCCUGCAAUGCUAUAGCAUUCCAGUGAGUCAUUAGCCAAGCCAAAAGCUGGGUCGAAGCCUGAGGAGCAAAGCACUCGCUGGAAAGGCAGUCAGGAGAGCGUGGCUGCCCCUACUUGAACAUCUUAGCACUGUGAAGAUGGAGUUUCAGGCAGCUGGACAGCUAUUUAAUAGCAAAUUAAAGUUGUGCCUUUUCAUUUUGUUUUUUUGGAUGAUGCAAGGUAAGUUUAUUCUCAUUGUGAGAACAUUACCAUAACAUGACUUAAAGGAAUAUUGAUGAAAAACAAAACAAUUAAAACCCAGAAGUAAAACCAAAAUUAGCUGGAGUUAAUCUAGAACCCACCCCGGAAUUGUUUUCUGUUCAAGAUUAAUGUAAAUAUGUUUAUAUUGGUUUUGUAAUUUCACUUUAGUCACUGUAUCCCAGAAAGAGUUUAAAAUGUAAAUAAAUAAUUUUGCAAAC
rnacentral:lncRNA from 1 species